AUUGAACGCUGGCGGCAGGCCUAACACAUGCAAGUCGAGCGAGCGGCGGACGGGUGAGUAAUGUAUGGGAAACUGCCCGAUGGAGGGGGAUAACUACUGGAAACGGUAGCUAAUACCGCAUACUAUCGGAUGUACCCAUAUGGGAUUAGCUAGUAGGUGGGGUAAAGGCUCACCUAGGCGACGAUCUCUAGCUGGUCUGAGAGGAUGAUCAGCCACACUGGAACUGAGACACGGCCCCGAUUCCUACGGUAGGCAGCAGUGGGGAAUAUGGCACAAUGGGCGCAAGCCUGAUGCACCCAUGCCGCGUGUAUGAAGAAGGCCUUAGGGUUGUAAAGUACUUUCAGCGGGGAUGCGUUACCCGCAGAAGAAGCACCGGCUAACUCCGUGCCAGCCGCCGCGGUAAUAC
rnacentral:rRNA from 1 species